AGAAAUCAACCGAGAUUCUGUGAGUAGUGGCGAGCGAAAGCGGAAGAGGCUAAACCAUAGGUAGCAAUACUUAUGGGGUUUCGGACAGCAUUUAGCAUUGAUAAUUUCUAGUUGAAACGUGUGGGAAAACGUACCGAAGAGUGUGAGAGUCACGUAAGCGAAAGAGAGAGUCAGCGAGCUGUAUCCAAAGUACCGCGGGACACGUGAAACCCCGUGGGAAGAUGGGGGGACCAUCCUCCAAGCCUAAAUACUACCUAAUGACCGAUAGCGAAUAGUACUGUGAAGGAACGGUGAAAAGAACCCCGGGAGGGGAGUGAAAAAGAACCUGAAACCCUAUGCUUACAAGCACCGAGAGCACGUCAAAGUGUGAUCGGGUACCUUUUGUAGAAUGGUCCGGCGAGUUAUUGUAUGCGGCAAGGUUAAGUGCUUAAGGCACGGAGCCGAAGCGAGAGCAAGUCUGAAUAGGGCGAAAAAGUCGUAUGCAAUAGACCCGAAACCGAGUGACCUAUCCAUGUCCAGGCUGAAGUGGAGGUAAAACUCCAUGGAGGGCCGAACACACGUCCGUUGAAAAGGCCGGUGAUGAGGUGUGGAUAGCGGAGAAAUUCCAAUCGAACUCGGAUAUAGCUGGUUCUCUCCGAAAUAGCUUUAGGGCUAGCCUCGUGAAAGAUUACUGGAGGUAAAGCACUGAAUGGGCUAGGGGUCGAAAGAUUACUGAACCCUAUCAAACUAAGAAUGCCAGAUAAUUGAUUCACGGGAGUCAGACAAUGUGAGAUAAGUCUCAUUGUCAAAAGGGAAACAGCCCAGACCCACAGCUAAGGUCCCUAAACAUUGUUAAGUGGAAAAGGAUGUGGGGUUGCAUAAACAACCAGGAUGUUGGCUUAGAAGCAGCCACUCAUUAAAAGAGUGCGUAAUAGCUCACUGGUCGAGUGACCCUGCGCCGAAAAUUCAACGGGGCUAAACAAUGUACCGAAGCUUGGGAUUCUAAAGUAAUUUAGAGUGGUAGGAGAGCGUCGAAUAAGGGGUGAAGUCAGAGCGGAAGCGCUGGUGGACUUUAUUCGAGUGAGAAUGCCGGAAUGAGUAGCGAGAAUUAUGUGAGAAUCAUAAUGGCCGAAAAUCUAAGGUUUCCUGAGGAAGGUUCGUCCGCUCAGGGUAAGCCGGGGGCUAAGGCGAGGCGGAGACGCGUAGCCGAUGCACAUACGGUUGAAAUUCCGUAGCCACCGAAAGAUUUAAGUACAGGGACGCUUUAGAAGUGAUGUUGCCGGGCGAUGGUUGACCCGGUCGUAAGGGAUCGAAAAUGAGUAGAGAAGUCAUCAUGGAAAGAGACAAGAAAAGCUGUAUGGAUAUCUUAGGUGCCCGUACCGCAAACCGACACAGGUAGAUAGGAAGAAGAUUCUAAGGCCAACGGGAGAAGGGUUGUUAAGGAACUCGGCAAGUUGACCCCGUAACUUAGGGAUAAGGGGUGCUCAAGUGAUUGAGCCGCAGAGAAUAGGCCCAGGCGACUGUUUAGCAAAAACACAGGUCUCUGCUAAAUCGAAAGAUGACGUAUAGGGGCUGACACCUGCCCGGUGCCGGAAGGUUAAGAGGAGAUGUGAGAGCAUUGAAUUGAAGCCCCGGUAAACGGCGGCCGUAACUAUAACGGUCCUAAGGUAGCGAAAUUCCUUGUCAGGUAAGUUCUGACCCGCA
rnacentral:rRNA from 1 species